UGAGCUAGCUCAGCAGUAGAGCGUGUGCUUAGCAUGCACAAGGUCCUGGGUUCAAUCCCCAGUACCUCUG
rnacentral:tRNA from 1 species